AGUGUGUUCACACCACCUGCUGGGGCGUGAAAACCAGCCAUAAAUACCUGCAUGGUGGUGGUGGCUCAUCAGGAGUGGGGAGAGAGGCCUGGUGCGCUUUCAGGAAGUUCCCAGUGACUCACAGGCUGUGGACCCCUCUCUGCACUUCCAGACACCCCUCCUCCCAAACAUACACACUCAGAACGGGCGGUGCAGGGAGCAGUGCCCAUCCAUUCCCAACACCAGGGGCUGAGGGCACUGGGAGGAAGGAGCCCUGGCCAGCCAGCUUGUAGGGACUCCACACAUCACAGCCCAAGACGCUGGGACAGCAGGCCCCAGGGCCCACAGUGGGGUGGGUGGGAUAGGGUGGAGGCAUGGCCCUGAGGCCCACUCUUUAUCACUGCCUCUCUCCCAAGAGCUACCCAGACCACUCAGUAGACCAGUGCCCAGCUCUCUUUCUAGGCUUAAACUUGGCAGCAGAGUCCCAUUUACUUAACGUGCUGAAGGUAGAGCGAGGUGGACGUGCACGCCUCAUGGCUAAAGAUAAAUGCCAGCUAAUGCCUGAAGUGUGGAAAACAUCGUGAACAAAUUCAGGGCUACUGUGUUCAUCCUCCCAUCCCUAGGCCAGUGGGUCUCUGACUGGUGAACACAGGGCUGCUGCCUCCGUGGGCCUCAGUUCUGAGCCUGCCCGCACUCUGCAUCCCAUACACGUCUUCCCAGUCCCACCAGAGAGCUGGCUCCAGACCCGCUUUAGAAGAGCUGGUGGCCUUUCCUGAAGCCAGCCGUGUGCACUGGGAACUGAAGUGUAAACAGGAGCAAAGCUCAAGGCCUCGCUGGUAAUUCUCCCUUUGUGGUGGGCAUUAGCUAGCCUCACUCACGAAGGGGACAGCCCAGGGGUGUAAGAUGCCAAGUGCCCUUAGACACCUCCACUGCCUGGGGGUGCCAGGUGGCCUCGGUGUGGCUGGCAGCCCAGGGUGAGUCCUGUGAUGAGCAAGUGCAUGGGCAAGCAGGCCUGGCUUUCUCCAUCUGCAAAGCAGGGAUGGUGUCUGCCUCAUUUAGAGGCUGGGGAGUGGGCGAGAUAAAAGGGUGGUUGAAGGGGCUUCAGCAUGAGCCUGGUGGCGUGUGAUGGAACAGACACCCAGCUGCCAAGGGGCAAAUACAUCCAUACCCCUGCCCCACCUUCUAGGCCUAGUAAAGUAGUAAAAUAGUCAGUAAAGGCACCAAUUGUCCCCACCUGUGUCUAGCUGCACAUCAAGGAAAUGUGUCUGGUCCAGGCAUUGUGACCUGUAAGGGACUCCACCCCGCCCUGCCACAGAGCAGUGGGCGGGGAACCCGGACCUACAUGGAGGCGCCUCCCCAGGAUGGACAUGGCACCCACAUUGGCACCCUCUGGUCUUGUCCCCACAGGACACCCCUCUGUCAUGGUGAUCAAGACGGCUAGGGGGCAGGGAAGGCGAGAAGAGGGAGGAGACACUGGUGUGACUCAUAGCAAAGUAAGAGCUUCUUCCCUCCUCUCUGCACCCCAAAUACGCACUUUUCCUGGAAGGGAACAGCUGGGCUGCUGGAGUCACAGAGGAAAUAUUUUUCUGGCUACGUUGCACAUUCCCCUUCUCUAUGAAAAUUGGUGCCACCAUUGCUAACUGAUGGAUGGACAGUGAGAUAUCUAUUUCCUUGCCUCCUUCUUUCCUCCCUCUCUCUGGGCUUUGUCCUGAGACAUCCGGAAAGGAAAGGGCAGUCAGACAGCAGCCACAGGGAGAGGGUGGUAAGUGGGGAGGACUUUGGUAUCAGGUGUGGAUAGCUGGGGCCCUCAGGAUCAUCAUUAACCCCAUUUUACAGAUGAGGAGACUGAGUCCCAAGAUCACCCAGAUACAAUAAUAAUUGUAGUAUUAACAUACAAGUUACCAUUGAAGGAGCACCGGCUGCGUUCCAGGCACUGUGCUAGACACUUCACAUGCGGUGAACCUGUGAGGCAGAUCCAUGACUGGCAACAUUGUACAGAGGGGAAAACUGAGGCUCAAAGAAGGCAAGUCACUAGCCCAGCUACUGUCACACAGCCAGGCCAGCAGAGCGGCAAUGUCCACUCACACAACCAUGCACAUGGCCACUGUGUCAGCUGCAUGCCUUCCCCACUCCCCAGCUGGCUGAAAACUGGUGGAGCUGAGAUCUGAACCCACAUUUAUCCAUGUUCUUACUCCAAGGCUGGGCUCUACUCCCAUGUUGACUGCUGCUGCCAAGAGAACUUUAAACAGCAGUUCUAGCCACAGCAGGACCCAGCCUGAUCCUGGCCCCAACCUGUGGCCAAAUGGGACAGAGAUCCAGGCCCAGCUUGUCUCAGCCUCUGGCCUGACCUCUCUGGGCCUCAGAGGCCUUGCUAUGAAAGGGGGAGCUGUAGGUAGAAUAAAUGAAGUGGCACUGAGGCCCCCCGGGACCGUACUGACUCACACAUGGUGGCCCAGGGCAUACCCAUUUCCCAAGGGUCACCCCUUGUGCACCCUGCUCUCCAGGGCUGGAGACCUCAGGCAGGCCCCUGAUUCUCUGGGACCCCAGUCUGCUCCCUGCUGCCCUGCUAAACAGAGUUCCCAAAGAGAGAGACAACAGGAACCCAGGCCUUGGUCUCAAACCUGCAGCCACACACCCCAGUGGCCUCCAGGAAUCCUGCACACACAUCCCAGAACCCCUCAGCUCUGCAUGUACUAUUGUGGGUUCUGGUCCGUGGAACCCAAAGUCCAAACAUAGGGAAGUGCCUUUCAGACACAUCCAAGAAAUGACCCUUAAUCCUCCAAGCUAAGAGAGAUCAUCUGGACUAGACGUGGUAGUGACAUAGGCUAGCAGUCUGUAUUGUCUGCAAACCCAGAACUGUCCUUGGCUGGCCAAUGUAAAUGUGUUUUAAUAGCCACACACACGGUCAUAUAAAUGGGAAUGUUCUAGGUAAAUGUGUGGUCUGUGUAAAUGUUCAUAAAUUCAAAGUAAACAUGUUGGGUGGUGACGCCUGUAUACAAUGUAAAUGUCCAUUCUUUGGUAAGACAGAGGACUUUAUGAAAGAUACGUCUGGCUGAUGGAGACGCACACAUGUGCAGUCAGUGGGAAUGCCUGUUUAGUACAAAUAUAAGGUUGAGACAAAUACCCACAUGAGUCUGUAAUAUGGGAUCAACCAUCAGAGAUGGAAGUCACCACGGAGAAACAGCAAGGUCAUUUCCACCAGGGACCAGAAGAGCAAAGAUUCAGGGGUACCACACGGAAAGAAGAGAGUGAUUUGGAGGAGGAAGGGGGUUCAGGAAGGAGCUGAGGGGUAGGGCACUCUGGCUUCUGGGUCAGGGUGGAGAGCUGGGUCAGCUGGGGCUAGGGGUACUGGGGAAGGUUUCUAGCUGGAGGAUAGAAACCAAGGGAACCCAGAGGGCAGUUAGGGGCUCUGGAAUCCAGUGUGGCAGGCAGGACUCUUGCUGAGGCUGGACUCCCACAGCCUGCCCCCCCGAGUGCAGCAGCCCCCAACACUGCUCAUGGCUGGGCAGGUGAUAGCCACCAAGGGGAGAGUGGAGAUGAUGAAAGGGUGGAGAUCUUUUCCCCGCGACUCCUACCACCAACUCUGUCACCCCAGGGGGUUGGUUAUGGCAAAACAGAACUAGAGAGCCAGCAAGACUUAGUUCCAGGUCCACCCAGCCACUGGGUAACAAUGGCCAAUGCCCCCCAAAUCCCAAGCCUCAGUGUUCUCCGUGGAAAAUGGGAGAGGUGAUAAAUACCACCCACACAUUCUCACAUAAGCUCAGAGGUAAAAUUGCUUUGCAAACUGUUAAGUGGUGAACAAUGUGAGAUGAAGGUGCUUUGCUGGCCCUGGGGCUUUGUUGCCAAUUAACAGGCACUGGGGUGGCCGAUUUGAUGUUUACGGCGUGGUGUGUAAGCCUGUGCACGGCAUGUACAUGCAUGUAUGUGUGUUUGUGUUUAAGACUCGAGGCUUUCAGAGACUAUGCCAUGGAGGUUUGGAGUGAGGGGG
rnacentral:lncRNA from 1 species